rnacentral:rRNA from 1 species
GACAACUCUCAACAACGGAUAUCUUGGCUCCCGUAACGAUGAAGAACGCAGCGAAAUGCGAUACGUAGUGUAAUUGCAGAAUUCCGUGAACCAUCGAAUCUUUGAACGCAAAUUGCGCUCGAGGCCUCGGCCUAGAGCAUGUCUGCCUCAGCGUCGGCU